UACGUAGGGGGCAAGCGUUGUCCGGAUUUAUUUGGGCGUAAAGAGCGUGUAGGCGGCCAUGCAGGUCCGUUGUGAAAACUCGAGCUCAACCUCGAGACGCCGAUGGAAACCGCAUGGCUAGAGUCCGGAAGAGGAGAGUGGAAUUCCUGGUGUAGCGGUGAAAUGCGCAGAUAUCAGGAAGAACACCCGUGGCUAAGGCGGCUCUCUAGUACGGUACUGACGCUGAGACGCGAAAAGCGUGGGGGAGCGAAACAGGG
rnacentral:rRNA from 1 species